UACGGAGGGAGCUAGCGUUGUUCGGAAUUACUGGGCGUAAAGCGCACGUAGGCGGCUUUUUAAGUCAGGGGUGAAAUCCCGGGGCUCAACCCCGGAACUGCCCUUGAAACUGGAGAGCUAGAAUCUUGGAGAGGCGAGUGGAAUUCCGAGUGUAGAGGUGAAAUUCGUAGAUAUCGGGAGGAACACCAGUGGCGAAGGCGGCGACCUGGGCCAAUAUUGACGCUGAGGUGCGAAAGCGUGGGGAGCAAACAGG
rnacentral:rRNA from 1 species